rnacentral:misc_RNA from 1 species
AGCAUUGCAAAAAUUCUUAAAACUCUUGCAAAAUUUGAGCAUCAUAAUUCCCAAUGUUUUAAUGAUUGUAAAAUCCACCUAAGAGUUUUGGUAAAUGUUUCUUUCUUAAUUAAUACAUCCAUAAAAAGAUAACCGCAGAUCACAUCAGAUCAUAAAGAAAAGUGCAUCCACAAGUCUAUCAACUCCUGGGGAAAUUAAAAGACACCAGUAAGAUAAGCACCAAAUCACUCCUCAGGAGGGUCUAG